rnacentral:lncRNA from 1 species
GGAAAUAGCCAAAGCCCAACGGCUCUAGCUUCUAGUGUCGACACGUGGCCCAUGCCACAGACAAGCCCAUCAUAUUUCAGUAACCAGCGCGGGUCCCACCAUUUUUCAGAAGCACAUGGGCUCUGCCACCUCAACGUGGGGCCCAGUGAAUAGUAUUGGGUCCAGGCAAUACUUGGACCUAUAUUUGGGUCCAAAUUUGGAUUUUCUCAAAUUUUGGGUCCUUCCUUUUCUUGGGUUGGGAGAGGUUUGGGGGAAUAUUUUGGGUUUGAGUCCAAAGGUUGGAGAUGGCCUUAUGCAUAGGAUUACUGAAUAAAAAUCGUUCCACUACUUCUAUAGUGUGUUUACUAAUCAAGAAUUGAAUUCCACUUUUGAGGAUUCCUGUGUUUACUUCACAUCAAGGAAUUGAAAAAGUAAGUGGGGCUCAUGCAAAAUUAGGAAUUGAGGGCAUGUUUACGUAUCAGUAAUGGGUAUGGGAGGAAAGGGAAUGAUUUCCAUUCCUGACUUCCCCUGCGUUUACUUGCAAUCAGGAAUGAAAAAAUAAGUGGGCCCCACCUCAAAAUCCCUAAUCACAUUCCCUCAAAACUAGGUAUCAAAUCGACUAGGGGGGACUAGUCGAUACGAUUCCCAUUCCUGCUUUCUCUUAUUAACUUCCAAAAAUACCCUUACCACUUUACUAUAAUUCCAAAAUAACUCAAACCCUAAAAAAAAUAAAAAUACACGCCAGAAGGAGUUCAAACAACUCAAACCCAUAACGUUACAACACAGCCUCCCUGGAGCAGCAGAAACUAUGUAAGUCACUCCAUCUAUCUAUCUAUCCCUCUUACUCAUUAAUUCAAAACCCCUUUUCCUAUAGCUUUUGGUUUUGGGUGAAUUUUAUAUAUGUGAUGUGGUGAAAAUGUGUAGGGCAUUUUAGUAAUCAAAUUAAUUUGGAUUCUGAUUCAUGAAAAUUAGUAAACAAUAACAAUGGGAAUCAACCCCAUUCCUUUACUAAUUUCGUAUGUUUAGUAAACAGCUUAAUGGGAAUGAUUCUUCCCAUACCGAUUCAGUAGUUCCCCGAUUCCUAAAUUAUCUGAUUCCUUACUUUCUCCAUUACUGAUACGUAAACAUGCCCUGAAUUCCUAAUUUUGGAGGAAUUCAAUUCCUAAAUGGGAGGAGGUAAUCUAAUUCAGGGAGAACCAACCCAUCAGGAAUUCGUUUUUUUCUACCCAUUAUAUCCUCACACACUUUUCAAAAUUCCAAAUUUGCCACUCUCUUUCAUUACCCAACAAAACCUAAUACGUUCUGUCAAAAAAAUCCCUUCUUCUCUUUUUCUCAGUUGCUGCCAUCUUCUCCUAGCUACCACCUCUUCGUGCUCAAGAAUUCUCAGGUAAGAUUUCUUUCUUACAAGUUUUCUAGUUGUUGUUCUUAGUAUUUCUUGAAUAUUAUUAUUUUGUAUUCGUUUUCCCAUUGUUCUUUGGUUUUUUUUCUUUUGUUUUUCCUCCGUAUUCUUGUGGUAAUAUUAAUAUAAUAUGUAGAUGAUGAAUUUUUAUGGUUUAGUAAGGAUACCAUGAUAAGUUCGCCAUUGUUGAGUAGGAGCUACAGGUUUGGUUUUUGGGUUUUAGGUUUGGGUUUUUUUUUUCUUUUUCGUGCUGAGCUCUUUUUUUUUCUGCUUUUUUUUUUCUCUAAACUUGUUCUUGGGUCCUAGUCGGAGUUUUACAAGCUUUUAUGGGAAAAAUAAUUAGUAUAUCAAAGAGACUUAUCUUUCCUAUAUCAUAAUACGCCUUGUUAAUAUGCAUUCAGUCAAAGUAAG